AAAAGAAAUUCUCAGAUCUGUGUUAUGCCAUAGCAAACGGAUUCCUGCAUUCCCUUCCGAUGAGGAUUUUGCCCCUGAAGAGCCUGCCCAUGAAGUUUCUAACACUUCAACACAAUUAUUGUUACUUUCAAGUGAAGAUGAGUGUGAAGUUCAGGUUCAAUUACCUGGUACCUCAACACCACAGGAACCAUCGUUGUUCAGUGUGGAUACAGCCAGUGACUUGGAUGGUUAUGGGUCUCCCAACGACACUGAGGAUCCACACCCUGCACUGAAUCACUCUGUUGUUUCCAGCCACUCGCAACAGCCUAACGGAUCAGACACUCCCUCAGCAUCCACAACAGUCUCCAUGAG